rnacentral:pre_miRNA from 1 species
UUUCAUGGAUUAGCAAAUAAAGUGUUCUCUUAAAAUGUGAUUUACUCCUGGUGAAGUUGCUGUGAA